rnacentral:rRNA from 2 species
CAGAACGAACGCCCGCGGCGUUUCUAACACAUGCAAGUCGAGCGAGAACGCCUGCUUCGGCAGGUUAGUAAAGCGGCGAACGGGUGAGUAACACGUGAGUAACCUACCCCCCAGUAGGGGAUAACACUUCGAAAGGGGUGCUAAUACCGUGUACGGUCCCGACCGUGUCUGCGGAUGGGACGAAAGGUGGCCUCUCUAUAGAAGCUGCCGCUGGGGGAAGGGCUCGCGUCCCAUUAGCUAGUUGGUAGGGUAACGGCCUACCAAGGCAACUAUGGGUAGCUGGUCUGAGAGGACGAUCAGCCACACUGGAACUGAGACACGGUCCAGACUCCUACGGGAGGCAGCAGUGGGGAAUAUUGCACAAUGGGGGAAACCCUGAUGCAGCAACGCCGCGUGCGGGAUGAAGGCCUUCGGGUUGUAAACCGCCGUCAGGGGGGAAGAACAUCGCUCCGGUGAAUAGCCGGAGUGGAUGACGGUACCCCCAGAGGAAGCCCCGGCUAACUCCGUGCCAGCAGCCGCGGUAAGACGGAGGGGGCAAGC